rnacentral:rRNA from 1 species
AUUGAACGCUGGCGGCAGGCUUAACACAUGCAAGUCGAGCGGAGCGAAGGUGCUUGCACCUUAGCUUAGCGGCGGACGGGUGAGUAAUGCUUAGGAAUCUGCCUAUUAGUGGGGGACAACGUUUCGAAAGGAACGCUAAUACCGCAUACGUCCUACGGGAGAAAGCAGGGGAUCUUCGGACCUUGUGCUAAUAGAUGAGCCUAAGUCGGAUUAGCUAGUUGGUGGGGUAAAGGCCUACCAAGGCGACGAUCUGUAGCGGGUCUGAGAGGAUGAUCCGCCACACUGGGACUGAGACACGGCCCAGACUCCUACGGGAGGCAGCAGUGGGGAAUAUUGGACAAUGGGCGAAAGCCUGAUCCAGUCAUGCCGCGUGUGUGAAGAAGGCCUUUUGGUUGUAAAGCACUUUAAGCGAGGAGGAGGAGCUUCAGGUUAAUACCCUGGAUGCUUGGACGUUACUCGCAGAAUAAGCACCGGCUAACUCUGUGCCAGCCGCCGCCGCGGUAA